CUCAGAGGUACUGCUGUGGUGCAGGAGAAAAAGCCAGAAACCAAAGAAGCUCAAGAGGAUUCCCAAGUUCCUUUCCAGACAAUUGCUGCCUUCAGAGGAGGUGUAAAUUCACGUGGAGCUGUGGAAGGGGAUGCAGGGAGCGCAGCAGAGUGCAGUGGGCUCUGUCCCCCUGCUCCCUGGUUUGGGAGACAUACAUUGACAUUCUGAGAGGAAAAAAAGCCUUCCCAUCCUUUUUCACCCUCCAGUCUCUCCUGCCGGGGGCGUGUGUCUUGUUCCAGGUCCCUCAGAAGGAUUUGUGUGUGUUCUGCGCUCCCGAAAGCUUGGAAGGAGCAUCCUUAAGCAGGAGAGGGAAGGAAGAGGAUUUUGCAUGGAGCUGGCGCGUUCGGGCAGAAUUGACUCUUCAUAGAAUCAUAGAAUCCUGGAAUGGUUUACUUGAAAAGGACCUGCAAGAUCACUGCAUUCCACCCCUCUGACAUGAGCAGGGACAACUUCUACUAGACCAGGUUGCUCCAAGUCCUGCCUAACCUGGUCCAAGGAAAAUAAUGGGAUCCUUCUAGUCCACACCUGGGACACAGGCCUUGGGCUGUUCAUCCAGGAAGGGGUUGCUUGGGUCCAAACAGGGAGGAGUUAACUGGUGA